AUAUACUCACCUACUCCCUUCCACUACACCCACCUACUCCCUCCUUUUUAAAAAGUUAACAUCACUACCCACUACCACCACCAACUCCCAGCCAAACCCACUGAUAUACUUCACCCAUCCCCUUCCACUUUUACUCAAUCUCCCACACAAUUUGCCAUAUUUCACUUUCAAAAGAAAACCCAACGAACAAGUGCAGAGGCUUUGAGCAUCAUGAGGAUUAGCACUGCUAUUCCGAUUCAGAGAUAACGUUAAACGACAGGCAUUGCCUAUACAGGUUGAGCAGUUGAUGGAAUGGAAUGAUGUUGAGCGGGUGUUCCUUUGACAUUUCAAGAAAUGUAACCUUGAGUAUACAUCUUCAUAUGUAUAUCUCACACGUUUUCCGCUGCAAAACACUUUGAUUAGGAUAACUCUAUAUUAUGAAGUUGUUACACGUGUUAUUGGGUAAACCACCUUAAUCAGUUCUCUUUUAUGUGUAUGUUUUAUAAGUAUCCAAAUGAUCAUAUAUGAUCCUAGCUUUUUAUCUAUAAGUGAUAUUUUCAUAUACUUUAAUGUUAAGUAAUUGUCCA